GACGAACGCUGGCGGCGUGCUUAACACAUGCAAGUCGAGCGGAAAGGCCCUGCUUUUGUGGGGUGCUCGAGUGGCGAACGGGUGAGUAACACGUGAGUAACCUGCCCUUGACUUUGGGAUAACUUCAGGAAACUGGGGCUAAUACCGGAUAGGAGCUCCUGCUGCAUGGUGGGGGUUGGAAAGUUUCGGCGGUUGGGGAAGGACUCGCGGCUUAUCAGCUUGUUGGUGGGGUAGUGGCUUACCAAGGCUUUGACGGGUAGCCGGCCUGAGAGGGUGACCGGCCACAUUGGGACUGAGAUACGGCCCAGACUCCUACGGGAGGCAGCAGUGGGGAAUAUUGCACAAUGGGCGGAAGCCUGAUGCAGCAACGCCGCGUGCGGGAUGACGGCCUUCGGGUUGUAAACCGCUUUCGCCUGUGACGAAGCGUGAGUGACGGUAAUGGGUAAAGAAGCACCGGCUAACUACGUG
rnacentral:rRNA from 1 species